CUACGUGCCAGCAGCCGCGGUAAUACGUAUGUCGCAAGCGUUAUCCGGAAUUAUUGGGCAUAAAGGGCAUCUAGGCGGCCAGAUAAGUCUGGGGUGAAAACUUGCGGCUCAACCGCAAGCCUGCCCUGGAAACUAUAUGGCUAGAGUACUGGAGAGGUGGACGGAACUGCACGAGUAGAGGUGAAAUUCGUAGAUAUGUGCAGGAAUGCCGAUGAUGAAGAUAGUUCACUGGACGGUAACUGACGCUGAAGUGCGAAAGCUAGGGGAGCAAACAGGAUUAGAUACCCUGGUAGUCCUAGCUGUAAACGAUGAUUACUGGGUGUGGGCAUGAAGAGUGUCCGUGCCGAAGCUAAUGCGAUAAGUAAUCCGCCUGGGGAGUACGGCCGCAAGGCUGAAACUCAAAGGAAUUGACGGGGACCCGCACAAGCGGUGGAGCAUGUGGUUUAAUUCGACGCAACGCGAGGAACCUUACCAGAUCUUGACAUCCUG
rnacentral:rRNA from 1 species